rnacentral:rRNA from 1 species
AAAUUGAAGAGUUUGAUCAUGGCUCAGAUUGAACGCUGGCGGCAGGCCUAACACAUGCAAGUCGAGCGGUAGCACAGAGAUGCUCUCGGGUGACGAGCGGCGGACGGGUGAGUAAUGUCUGGGAAACUGCCUGAUGGAGGGGGAUAACUACUGGAAACGGUAGCUAAUACCGCAUAAUGUCGCAAGACCAAAGUGGGGGACCUUCGGGCCUCAUGCCAUCAGAUGUGCCCAGAUGGGAUUAGCUAGUAGGUGGGGUAACGGCUCACCUAGGCGACGAUCCCUAGCUGGUCUGAGAGGAUGACCAGCCACACUGGAACUGAGACACGGUCCAGACUCCUACGGGAGGCAGCAGUGGGGAAUAUUGCACAAUGGGCGCAAGCCUGAUGCAGCCAUGCCGCGUGUGUGAAGAAGGCCUUCGGGUUGUAAAGCACUUUCAGCGGGGAGGAAGGCGGUGAGGUUAAUAACCUCAUCGAUUGACGUUACCCGCAGAAGAAGCACCGGCUAACUCCGUGCCAGCAGCCGCGGUAAUACGGAGGGUGCAAGCGUUAAUCGGAAUUACUGGGCGUAAAGCGCACGCAGGCGGUCUGUCAAGUCGGAUGUGAAAUCCCCGGGCUCAACCUGGGAACUGCAUUCGAAACUGGCAGGCUAGAGUCUUGUAGAGGGGGGUAGAAUUCCAGGUGUAGCGGUGAAAUGCGUAGAGAUCUGGAGGAAUACCGGUGGCGAAGGCGGCCCCCUGGACAAAGACUGACGCUCAGGUGCGAAAGCGUGGGGAGCAAACAGGAUUAGAUACCCUGGUAGUCCACGCCGUAAACGAUGUCGAUUUGGAGGUUGUGCCCUUGAGGCGUGGCUUCCGGAGCUAACGCGUUAAAUCGACCGCCUGGGGAGUACGGCCGCAAGGUUAAAACUCAAAUGAAUUGACGGGGGCCCGCACAAGCGGUGGAGCAUGUGGUUUAAUUCGAUGCAACGCGAAGAACCUUACCUGGUCUUGACAUCCACAGAACUUUCCAGAGAUGGAUUGGUGCCUUCGGGAACUGUGAGACAGGUGCUGCAUGGCUGUCGUCAGCUCGUGUUGUGAAAUGUUGGGUUAAGUCCCGCAACGAGCGCAACCCUUAUCCUUUGUUGCCAGCGGUCCGGCCGGGAACUCAAAGGAGACUGCCAGUGAUAAACUGGAGGAAGGUGGGGAUGACGUCAAGUCAUCAUGGCCCUUACGACCAGGGCUACACACGUGCUACAAUGGCAUAUACAAAGAGAAGCGACCUCGCGAGAGCAAGCGGACCUCAUAAAGUAUGUCGUAGUCCGGAUUGGAGUCUGCAACUCGACUCCAUGAAGUCGGAAUCGCUAGUAAUCGUAGAUCAGAAUGCUACGGUGAAUACGUUCCCGGGCCUUGUACACACCGCCCGUCACACCAUGGGAGUGGGUUGCAAAAGAAGUAGGUAGCUUAACCUUCGGGAGGGGCGCUUACCACUUUGUGAUUCAUGACUGGGGUGAAGUCGUAACAAGGUAACCGUAGGGGAACCUGCGGUUGGAUCACCUCCUUACCUUAAAGAA